AGUCGACGGUAACAGGGACUUCGGUCCGCUGACGAGUGGCGCACGGGUGAGUAACGCGUGGGUUACCUGCCCAUAAGUGGGGAACAACUUGGAGAAAUCCAAGCUAAUACCGCAUAAUACCUUCGGGUUAAAGAGGGGGAUCUUCGGACCUCUCGCUUAUGGAUGGUCCCGCGUCUGAUUAGCUAGUUGGUAGGGUAAUGGCCUACCAAGGCAAUGAUCAGUAGCUGGUCUGAGAGGAUGAUCAGUCACACUGGAACUGAGACACGGUCCAGACUCCUACGGGAGGCAGCAGUGGGGAAUUUUGCACAAUGGGCGAAAGCCUGAUGCAGCGACGCCGCGUGCGGGAAGAAGGCCUUCGGGUUGUAAACCGCUUUCAACAGGGAAGAAGGAAUGAGAGCUAAUACCUCUCUGCCUUGACGGUACCUGUAGAAGAAGCACCGGCUAAUUUCGUGCCAGCAGCCGCGGUAAUACGAAAGGUGCAAGCGUUGUUCGGAUUUACUGGGCGUAAAGAGAUCGUAGGUGGCUUGUUAAGUCGGAUGUGAAAUCCCGGGGCUCAACCCCGGAACUGCAUCCGAUACUGGCAGGCUUGAGUUUGGGAGGGGUAAGCGGAAUUCCGUGUGUAGCAGUGAAAUGCGUAGAUAUACGGAGGAACACCUGAGGCGAAGGCGGCUUACUGGACCAAUACUGACACUGAGGAUCGAAAGCGUGGGUAGCAAACAGGAUUAGAUACCCUGGUAGUCCACGCCCUAAACGAUGUCAACUAGCCGUUGCGGGUAUCGACCCCUGCAGUGGCGCAGCUAACGCGAUAAGUUGACCGCCUGGGGGAGUACGGUCGCAAGAUUAAAACUCAAAGGGAAUUUGACGGGGGCCCGCAC
rnacentral:rRNA from 1 species